UCCGAAUUAGUCCAUCGGCUAGGAUAUCUCGCUUUCAUACUUGGAUCCGAGAAGAGCCGGGUUCGAUUCCCGGAUUCGGAA